GGAAGGGAUCGAUUUAGCCAUGCUAGUUGCACGAGUUCAGACUCGUAGCAGAUAGCUCAGUAACACGUGGCCAAACUACCCUAUGGAUCCGAAUAACCUCGGGAAACUGAGGCUAAUUCGGAAUACGGCUCACCACCUGGAGUGGUGUGAGCCCGAAACGCUCCGGCGCCAUAGGAUGUGGCUGCGGCCGAUUAGGUAGACGGUGGGGUAACGGCCCACCGUGCCCAUAAUCGGUACGGGUUGUGAGAGCAAGAGCCCGGAGACGGUAUCUGAGACAAGAUACCGGGCCCUACGGGGCGCAGCAGGCGCGAAACCUUUACACUGCACGAAAGUGCGAUAAGGGGACUCCAAGUGCGAGGGCAUAUAGUCCUCGCUUUUUGCGACCGUAAGGUGGUCGCGGAAUAAGUGCUGGGCAAGACCGGUGCCAGCCGCCGCGGUAAUACCGGCAGCACGAGUGAUGACCGCUAUUAUUGGGCCUAAAGCGUCCGUAGCUGGCCGUGCAAGUCCAUCGGGAAAUCCGCGCGCUUAACGCGCGGGCGUCCGGUGGAAACUGCAUGGCUUGGGACCGGAAGACCAGAGGGGUACGUCCGGGGUAGGAGUGAAAUCCCGUAAUCCUGGACGGACCACCGGUGGCGAAAGCGCCUCUGGAAGACGGAUCCGACGGUGAGGGACGAAAGCUCGGGUCACGAACCGGAUUAGA
rnacentral:rRNA from 1 species